rnacentral:rRNA from 1 species
AACGAACGCUGGCGGCAUGCCUAACACAUGCAAGUCGAACGAGACCUUCGGGCCUAGUGGCGCACGUGUGCGUAACGCGGGGGAAGUUGCCCUUAGGUUCGGUAUAACUCCCCGAGAGGUGUGCUAAUACAGGUGAGGCUCUUAGGACCUAGGAUUUAUCGCCGCUGGAUGGGCGCGGGUUGGAUUAGCUGGUUGGUAGGGUAAAAGCCUAGCAAGGGCACGAUGCAGAGCUGGUGUGAUAGGAGGCUCAUCCACACUGGGAAUGAGGCACGGCCCAGUCUCCUACGGAGGGGAGCAGUGUGGAAUAUUGGACAAGGGAGGAAGGCCUGGCCCAGCCAUGCGGGGUGAGUGAUGCAGGCCUUAGGGUUGUAAAGCUCUUUUACCCGGGGUGUUAAUGACAGUACCGGGAGAAUAAGCUCCGGCUAACUCCGUG